GUAGGUGGCAAGCGUUGUCCGGAAUUAUUGGGCGUAAAGCGCGCGCAGGCGGUUCUUUAAGUCUGAUGUGAAAGCCCACGGGCUCAACCGUGGAGGGUCAUUGGAAACUGGAGAACUUGAGUACAGAAGAGGAAAGCGGAAUUCCACGUGUAGCGGUGAAAUGCGUAGAGAUGUGGAGGAACACCAGUGGCGAAGGCGGCUUUCUGGUCUGUAACUGACGCUGAGGCGCGAAAGACGUGGGGAGGCAAACAGGAUUAGAUACCCUGGUAGUCCACGCCGUAAACGAUGAGUGCUAAGUGUUAGGGGGUUUCCGCCCCUUAGUGCUGCAGCUAACGCAUUAAGCACUCCGCCUGGGGAGUACGGCCGCAAAGGCUG
rnacentral:rRNA from 1 species